UACAGGGGUGCAAACGUUGCUCGGAAUCAUUGGGCGUAAAGCGCACGUAGACGGUCUGUUAUGUCGGAUGUGAAAGCCCUCGGCUCAACUGAGGAAGUGCAUCCGAAACUGGCAGGCUAGAGUACUAAAGAGGGUCGCGGAAUUCCCGGUGUAGAGGUGAAAUUCGUAGAUAUCGGGAGGAACACCGGUGGCGAAGGCGGCGACCUGGGUAGAUACUGACGCUGAGGUGCGAAAGCGUGGGGAGCAAACAGG
rnacentral:rRNA from 1 species